UACGGAGGGUGCAAGCGUUAAUCGGAAUUACUGGGCGUAAAGCGUGCGCAGGCGGUUUGUUAAGUCUGUUGUGAAAUCCCCGAGCUCAACUUGGGAAUUGCAAUGGAUACUGGCAGGCUGGAGUAUGGUAGAGGAAGGUGGAAUUCCCGGUGUAGCAGUGAAAUGCGUAGAGAUCGGGAGGAACACCAGUGGCGAAGGCGGCCUUCUGGCCUGUAACUGACGCUGAGGCGCGAAAGCGUGGGGAGCAAACAGG
rnacentral:rRNA from 1 species